CCCUAGUAGCUUAAACACAAAGCGCCGGUCUUGUAAUCCGGAGACUGAAGGUUAAAAUCCUUCCUAGUGCC
rnacentral:tRNA from 1 species